rnacentral:rRNA from 1 species
GGGUUGUGAGGUUAAGCGACUAAGCGUACACGGUGGAUGCCCUGGCAGUCAGAGGCGAUGAAGGGCGUGCUAAUCUGCGAUAAGCGCCGGUAAGGUGAUAUGAACCGUUAUAACCGGCGAUACCCGAAUGGGGAAACCCAGUGUGAUUCGUCACACUAUCAUUAACUGAAUCCAUAGGUUAAUGAGGCGAACCGGGGGAACUGAAACAUCUAAGUACCCCGAGGAAAAGAAAUCAACCGAGAUUCCCCCAGUAGCGGCGAGCGAACGGGGAGGAGCCCAGAGCCUGAAUCAGCAUGUGUGUUAGUGGAAGCGUCUGGAAAGGCGCGCGAUACAGGGUGACAGCCCCGUACACAAAAGCGCAUGUGCUGUGAGCUCGAUGAGUAGGGCGGGACACGUGGUAUCCUGUCUGAAUAUGGGGGGACCAUCCUCCAAGGCUAAAUACUCCUGACUGACCGAUAGUGAACCAGUACCGUGAGGGAAAGGCGAAAAGAACCCCGGCGAGGGGAGUGAAAAAGAACCUGAAACCGUGUACGUACAAGCAGUGGGAGCNNNNNNNNNNNNNNNNNNNGGGCGUUAAGUUGCAGGGUAUAGACCCGAAACCCGGUGAUCUAGCCAUGGGCAGGUUGAAGGUUGGGUAACACUAACUGGAGGACCGAACCGACUAAUGUUGAAAAAUUAGCGGAUGACCUGUGGCUGGGGGUGAAAGGCCAAUCAAACCGGGAGAUAGCUGGUUCUCCCCGAAAGCUAUUUAGGUAGCGCCUCGUGAAUUCAUCUCCGGGGGUAGAGCACUGUUUCGGCUAGGGGGCCAUCCCGGCUUACCAACCCGAUGCAAACUGCGAAUACCGGAGAAUGUUAUCACGGGAGACACACGGCGGGUGCUAACGUCCGUCGUGAAGAGGGAAACAACCCAGACCGCCAGCUAAGGUCCCAAAGUCAUGGUUAAGUGGGAAACGAUGUGGGAAGGCCCAGACAGCCAGGAUGUUGGCUUAGAAGCAGCCAUCAUUUAAAGAAAGCGUAAUAGCUCACUGGUCGAGUCGGCCUGCGCGGAAGAUGUAACGGGGCUAAACCAUGCACCGAAGCUGCGGCAGCGACACUGUGUGUUGUUGGGUAGGGGAGCGUUCUGUAAGCCUGUGAAGGUGUGUCGUGAGGCAUGCUGGAGGUAUCAGAAGUGCGAAUGCUGACAUAAGUAACGAUAAAGCGGGUGAAAAGCCCGCUCGCCGGAAGACCAAGGGUUCCUGUCCAACGUUAAUCGGGGCAGGGUGAGUCGACCCCUAAGGCGAGGCCGAAAGGCGUAGUCGAUGGGAAACGGGUUAAUAUUCCCGUACUUGGUGUUACUGCGAAGGGGGGACGGAGAAGGCUAUGUUGGCCGGGCGACGGUUGUCCCGGUUUAAGCGUGUAGGUGUGUGUUCCAGGUAAAUCCGGUUCACUUUAACACUGAGGCGUGACGACGAGGCACUACGGUGCUGAAGCAACAAAUGCCCUGCUUCCAGGAAAAGCCUCUAAGCAUCAGGUAACAUCAAAUCGUACCCCAAACCGACACAGGUGGUCAGGUAGAGAAUACCAAGGCGCUUGAGAGAACUCGGGUGAAGGAACUAGGCAAAAUGGUGCCGUAACUUCGGGAGAAGGCACGCUGACACGUAGGUGAAGUGAUUUACUCAUGGAGCUGAAGUCAGUCGAAGAUACCAGCUGGCUGCAACUGUUUAUUAAAAACACAGCACUGUGCAAACACGAAAGUGGACGUAUACGGUGUGACGCCUGCCCGGUGCCGGAAGGUUAAUUGAUGGGGUCAGCGCAAGCGAAGCUCCUGAUCGAAGCCCCGGUAAACGGCGGCCGUAACUAUAACGGUCCUAAGGUAGCGAAAUUCCUUGUCGGGUAAGUUCCGACCUGCACGAAUGGCGUAAUGAUGGCCAGGCUGUCUCCACCCGAGACUCAGUGAAAUUGAACUCGCUGUGAAGAUGCAGUGUACCCGCGGCAAGACGGAAAGACCCCGUGAACCUUUACUAUAGCUUGACACUGAACAUUGAGCCUUGAUGUGUAGGAUAGGUGGGAGGCUUUGAAGUGUGGACGCCAGUCUGCAUGGAGCCGACCUUGAAAUACCACCCUUUAAUGUUUGAUGUUCUAACGUGGACCCGUUACCCGGGUUGCGGACAGUGUCUGGUGGGUAGUUUGACUGGGGCGGUCUCCUCCUAAAGAGUAACGGAGGAGCACGAAGGUUGGCUAAUCCUGGUCGGACAUCAGGAGGUUAGUGCAAUGGCAUAAGCCAGCUUGACUGCGAGCGUGACGGCGCGAGCAGGUGCGAAAGCAGGUCAUAGUGAUCCGGUGGUUCUGAAUGGAAGGGCCAUCGCUCAACGGAUAAAAGGUACUCCGGGGAUAACAGGCUGAUACCGCCCAAGAGUUCAUAUCGACGGCGGUGUUUGGCACCUCGAUGUCGGCUCAUCACAUCCUGGGGCUGAAGUAGGUCCCAAGGGUAUGGCUGUUCGCCAUUUAAAGUGGUACGCGAGCUGGGUUUAGAACGUCGUGAGACAGUUCGGUCCCUAUCUGCCGUGGGCGCUGGAGAACUGAGGGGGGCUGCUCCUAGUACGAGAGGACCGGAGUGGACGCAUCACUGGUGUUCGGGUUGUCAUGCCAAUGGCACUGCCCGGUAGCUAAAUGCGGAAGAGAUAAGUGCUGAAAGCAUCUAAGCACGAAACUUGCCCCGAGAUGAGUUCUCCCUGAGACUUAGAGUCUCCUGAAGGAACGUUGAAGACGACGACGUUGAUAGGCCGGGUGUGUAAGCGCAGCGAUGCGUUGAGCUAACCGGUACUAAUGAACCGUGAGGCUUAACCUUACAACGCCGAAG